AUAUUAUUAGUUUCAGUUUAUUAAAAUGUCUGCUCUCAACAGCUGCGGGAAGUAAGGAAGUAUAUGGGCAUGAAUUAUUAUUUUCAUAUGACGAAGACACGAUUUUUGUAAGAGUGUUUGGGGUGACUAAACUUGAUCCAAAAUGUCAGAUGCAGAUGAGCGUGCUUCCUGUGAUAAUACUUCAGAUCCAGAGGAAGGGGAGGAAGAACAACUUGCUACAUGUGGUGGCUCCUCCUCUCCUUCUCAUUUUGCACAGCCUUGUGACCAGUCUGUAGCGUCAGCCACAGAUGAUGGAGCAGACAACUAUAGCAUGGAAGUGCAUCUGGGAGGCGAUAACUCUCAACAUGCCAGUGAAAUCAGUUCCAUAUCUUAUCAGAACCUUCUGGAGGAAGGAGAGCCCACUGGCAGCAUCCUUUCUCGUAGGGGUAGCGAAGACAGUACUGAUUCCUAUCCACCAGAUUUCCCUGAAAGCAACCCCUCUGAUGAUAUAGAAACAUUUGAGGCAUCAGAUUUACCAUUGUCAGAACACUACAAUCUCAGGAUUAAACAGCUGCCUGCUAAAGCAUAUUCAUCCUCAGGAGGAGAAGAAGGUGAACCUAGGCAUGAGAGCUCAGCUAAAUCUGUUUCAGAGAGCAAAGACAAAAAGAAAGAUAGCUGUGCAGAAGGCGGAAAAAACUAUAGCACUGGUGACAGCAGUGGUAUAGAGAACAACACCCUACCUUUAGACACAGCCUUGUCAAAGAAAGCUUCGAAAAGCCUGAAUAUAUCGGAACCUGUUACUCCAGACACAUCGGCUGUCAUAAAAAGGAAAAGGUCUCCUCAGAUUAAUGCUUCUUCUCAUACCAAUCGACCAGAAGAUGGUGAGGAGGUUACAAGGAAGCGCAACAGCCUCGAAAUCCGCAAUAACAUUCCAGUAGUCGGUGAAGUGAAGAUGUGUGAUAGCAGUCCUCCAACUUGCACCCCACCGUUACAUGGGGCCAAGCCCAAAAUAAAAAACUUGAAACAGUCUCCUGGUCUAGCCCGAAGGGUAUGUGAUCAGUCUGGUACCAGGGACAGCUCAAGUUCAGAACGGGAAACAGAAGCACGCAGAAGUGGUGAACCUGUACAGUGCCCAGUGCACACACCUAUUAUGUUGCUGCAUGUGACGUCUACUGGCCAGGACGAGAGGGUCAUUGAUACUGAAAUCCCAACUGGUAAAGUUGAUAUAAUUGCUCCCUUGCGACGAAAUGUUGAUAUAGAAAAUGAAUAUGACUAUGUCAAAUAUGCCCGGGUUCAACAUGGAAACUCUUAUGUUGGGAUGCGUCUUGCCUACUCCAGCUCAAAUGACUCAUUAAGUUUGAAGCGUAACAGUGUUCACAGCCAUGGAAGUGACUCCAUUGAUAGUUCACGCGAGCCAUCACCAGAGAAAGUUCUUCAUCAGAAAAUGAUUGGUGAUUUAAAUGAGCAUAUAUCCCAAGACCGUGUUUGUGAAGAAACUCUGACCGAGAUUCCACUCAAUGCAUCAGAUUCAUGCCUCAAUGAAGGGAAAAAACCAUUUACUUUGUCGCCAGAAAACACGGAAUGUGACAGCGUUGAAGUAGAGAGUGUGACUUCUGAUGGAGAAAACUCCACACCGGGCUUCCCAACAGUGGAAGAUGGACUGUCUAGUAGCCAAGCAAGUGAUGCUGAAGAGGGUCCUAGUGGGGAUCACACUUCUCCAUCACACAUGCUGCGCAUGAAACAAAAAGCUGACCUAGAAAAUGACAUGAGAAAUUCUGAUGAUUCAUCAAGAGGAGGUCCCCGUGACAUAGAUGCACAAGCAAUUAUGAAUGAUUUGAAAGCUAAGCGGGAAGCUUUGGACAUGGCUAUUGCAGACAUCAAAUCUGCCAUACAGCGAAGCAAGCAGGUUGCAUUGCAGUCUCCUUAUGACAAUCAUCAGUCUGAUCAGAAUGAGCCAGUGUGGAUUCGCAGAGAUCCACCACAAGGAGAGCGAAAAGAACGACAAGAGGAGAUGCGCAGAGUGAGAGAGGAAAUAGAACGUCAGCAAGAAGAAAAAUACCAGCCAAAAGAAGACAAAGGUGAAGACAGUGAGACCAUUACUCUGUCACCAUUUCCUAACACUCAUGAAGUGACUGUGGAACCUGAAGAUGAGAGCAGCAGAAAGCCGAGAGUACUGCAUGGGUCGGGUUAUGAUUCUGAUGACGAAUGUGAAGAGGUUGGUGGCAUGCGGUACACUCGUCGUAACAAAGGCAAAAAAUAUGCCCCUCUCCGCAAAGAAGAUUCUUUAGAACAUGGGGCCAGCAUGGGGAGUGUGAAAGAAAAGAGUGGUUUUGGCAGCACUGCCACCAAUCAGAAUGCCAAUGGCCGAACCCCUCACUCUUCGAACUGUUCCAAUCACGUUAACAAUCUCAAGCAUAAUUCGCAUUCCCAGUAUUCUUCGGAAGAAAAUGGAAGUGAUGUCGAUCCAACCAGCAGGGGCUCGUAUGUACAACACCAGCAUGGAGAUUCUGACACAGAUGAAGAGACCGACCGUCUGCUGCAGAAACAGUAUCAAAGGAGAGAUCAGUAUGUGGAAAUCCCAGAGCUUGACAAUCAGGCUGUCCAGCAACAGACACAGGCACAAAUGCAUCAAUCAAAGGCAAAAGAAGCAAGUGUUUCAGAGCCACGCUCAAAUCGUUCAAACCAAGUUGCCAUUCGUGAUCCUGACCGACCUGAAGUGCUAAUUGAAGGGGUUCUUUUUCGUGCCCGAUACUUGGGCUCCACACAACUUGUGUCAGAAGGUCAGCCAUCCAAAGCAAUGCGCAUGAUGCAAGCUCAGGAGGCAGUCGGCCGUAUCAAGGCUUCGAUUAAAAAAUCAGAGAAAGGACAUGGACGUGCGAAGAGGGAGGCCCCGGAAGGAGAGAGUCAGCCCAGCACAGACGUGGACCUCUUCGUCUCCACAGAGAAGAUCAUGGUGCUCAACACUGACCUGCAGGAGAUAAUGAUGGACCACUCUCUUCGCACCAUCUCCUACAUCGCUGACAUCGGCGACAUUCUAGUCAUAAUGGCACGUCGUCGCAUCCUGACAAGUCCUGAUGAGACGCUGAUGCGUCGUCGCCGGCAGGCCAAGAUCUUGUGCCACGUCUUCGAGUCUGACGAGGCACAGCUGAUAGCACAGUCCAUCGGCCAAGCAUUUCAGGUGGCAUACCUUGAGUUUCUCAAAGCAAAUGGCAUUGAGGACCCUGGCCUCCUACGGGAGAUGGACUACCAGGAUGUCCUCAACCAGCAAGAAAUCUAUGGAGAGGAGUUACAGCUGUUUGCCAACAAAGACUUUCAUAAAGAGGUGAUUGUACCCAAGAUGAAAGGUGAACCACUAGGAGUGGUGAUUGUGGAGUCAGGCUGGGGAUCCAUGGUGCCUACAGUUGUACUGGCCAACAUGCUGCCCAAUGGGCCGGCAGCACGCUGUGGACAGCUAAACAUUGGUGAUCAAAUCAUAUCCAUCAAUGGAGUGUCUCUGGUGGGGCUUCCUCUUUCUGCAUGUCAGACCUAUGUCAAGGCAUCCAAACACAGACUGUGGUGAAGCUGACUGUUGUUCCCUGCCCUCCUGUGGUUGAGGUGCUGAUCAAGCGCCCUGACGUCAAGUAUCAACUCGGCUUCAGUGUCCAGAAUGGAGUGAUCUGCAGCCUGUUGAGAGGGGGCAUAGCAGAAAGAGGUGGAGUGCGAGUAGGGCAUCGCAUCAUUGAAAUCAACAACCAGAGUGUUGUUGCCGUACCUCACGAGAAAAUAGUGUCUCUUCUUGCAAAUUCUGUGGGAGAGAUCCACAUGAAGACCAUGCCCACCUCAAUAUUUCGGCUGCUGACAGGACAAGACAUACCUCACUACUUAUAGUGACUGCUCAGCCCUGCUACCAUGCAUCCAACAUGGACUUGCAUAGAGAGAAGUUGCAGAUGAAUGGCUGUCAGCAAAGAAAGUUAUGACGACCUACAUUUUUGUUGUAGAUCAAGUCAGGCAUCACAGAUUUGCCUGAAAGAGUAUACCAAACUAAGAGAGAUAGCUGCAGUCAUAGAUUUAAUGCAUUUAUAAACAUUUUUUAGUUUUUUAUGGGGUUCGAAGAAAGAUGGAAACAUCAGCGUCCGUGAAGGUUCCAUAACACACAGUUAAGUGUGUUUGCGGUGAAAAUGUGUCAAAGACUUUCACUUUACAUUCAUCUUAACUGCUGGUCAAGUGAAAAGUCUUUUUAGUAAGCACACAGCCCCUCAGCAAGGUUUUUUCCUGUUUCAUGAAGCUAAGGAAAGUGGUGUCUCCAUAGGUAUGGUAACCUGAGUUUGACUUUUUAGUCAAAAGGUUUGAAGUUGAUUACAGUAGAAAAGGCUACACUACGUUCCAGGAUUCAAGACACCAGGUGGAAGUUUGCAGCAUGUGUUGAUUGUACAAAUCAUUUAUUAAAGGAGGCGAAGCUCGUGACAGAAAAAUGUAAAGCGAGGAAACUUGAAUACAUUUCUCUAAGUUGCCCAUAAACCCCAGUGGUUUCUUGAGUAACGACAGACUGAAGCAGGCUUUACAUGACUGUGUGUUGUAAAGCUGGAGGCACAAUAGGCUAACGAUUGUGUGUAAUUAGAUAUUGAUUGAGGGCUGGUUGAUUGAUGCAGAGGUCUGGGGCUAGGGAAAUAGCAGUUUCUGUGAAAAGCACAUGUUUUGGGAUUUUGACAUUGUGUUCAUAGGAAGAAAAAACUUUUUUUUUUUUUUGUUUUUUGGGGUUUUUUUUUGAUAAAUGACUUUCAUGUCUGCUGUGGUCUCUAAGUACGUGCAGUAGAUUUAUUGCCCACUACUUAACUGUAAAAAUAAGUUUGAAUAGGUAGUCUUAGAAAUCUAGGCAUUUCUUUCUUUAUCUUGUUUGGGGGUGGGGGAAGAAUGUACAUGCAUGUCCUGUUCUAGAUUAAGGAGGAGGGGGGAAUUGGUGUUUUACGCGGAGCCAGCAACUAGGGCUACAUCACCGCAAAGCAGCCAUCCCUGUAAAAGGUUGUCACAUGCAGAAAAAGAACGGUAUGCCCGAGACGAGAGCUGAACCCAAGACAGCCAACCUUCACAGCCUGUAUUGGUGACAGGUGCUAACCGUUGCACCAACGGACUGACCUCUCUAGAUUAAGGAGUAUGCCCUAAGUAUGAAGUAACAGUUUAAUGUAACAGGCUGGGGAUUUUAGUUUAGCUGUUCCAUUUUAGCAAUAUUUCAACUACAUUUAUGCACACACAUGCAUUCACUCUUCACCUAAGAAUUUUUCAGUAGAGACCUUUUUAACUGUUGUUGUUGAAGAAUAUUCGUUUUCACUUGCCAUGACUCUUUUUAAGUGAUAGCAAACCUGCCUUUGAUGUACAUGUUGUAAAGAGCUUGUUAGCAUGGUUUAUACUAGAUAUUAUGAAACAGAGUAUUUGCAUUGCCUACCUCUGUCCAUUCUUCACUGGCUUGAACUACAAACCCAGUCCACUCUCAUUUUAAAAAAUAUUAAAGAAAUCUGUUUGUGCUGGAUCAUGUUUGAUGAGUGUAAUGCAAGUGACGGAUAAGAAGAGCUGAAUUAUUCUUGUGUUAUUUUGUGCCUUCUGUCAUAGUUUGGAAUAUAUGUAGAAUCUCUCUGAUUCAGUUAUUAGUUUUCCUUUGGGAGGGUCUUUAUAUUUGUUAAUGCUCCCUUCUUGAAAGACAUUUCAAAGUUUUGGAGAAUUUUCUGUAUUUCAUGGGAACAGGAAACCUUAAUAUUUUAAACAUUCUGUUUUGUGAUGUCAAAAUUUGAUUUCUGGAUUUGGGAAUAUGAUAAUUUUAAAAACAAGUUUUGACAUGCAAAAGCCUGUUUUGUUUAGGUGUGUUGACAAGUUUAUUGAACGAUUCUUUUUAACUUGAGGGAGACAAGUCACAUAGUACUGUAUCAACAAAAGUUCGAUCAUGAAAAUGAACAUAAGGAGAAACCAUUGGUAAAGAAUCACCAAUUCAUUACCUUUUUUGUUUUUGUAGUAAGCUAUCAUGCUUUCUGUGUCUAGCAUAAAGUUAAAACCAUAAUAGUGUAUAAUGAUUUUCUGCCUUGCCAGUGGCUUUUAUUGUGUACAUACCAAGAAGUCUAAACGUGUUUUUAUAACUGACCUUGGCAGUCUGCCUUUAGAACAGUCAUAUAUUAUUAUUCAUACUGGCAGCAUAAUGCUUCCUGUUUUGGCAGUGUUACAGUUGCAUUAUGGAUUUCACUUCUGUAUGACUUGUAAUUCCUUUGUCAAGCCAUGGUAUCAGUUAGGAUGGCCUUGGAAGGAAAAGAACCAGAAACAGGCAUCUUGCAAGUUUACCAGUUCUUACUGUGUUUAAUCAUUGUCACAAAAUGAUGCAAAUUGGAAGUGGUGAGAUGUACACUCAUACCAUGAUGAAGGCAGAACAUGUUUUGGGUCAUGCAUGCCAUAAACUGUUGGUGACAAGUUUUGUGGGGGGUUUUUAUGUGAUGUGAUCGUUAACUAACCCUCUGUUUGCUCUUUCAUUCUGAGUUCUAUAUUAGUGGCAAAAGCUUGCUUGCUCAAGGCCUUUCAGCUCUGUUUAAAUGCAUCAAUGCAGGAUCAUUGUCUGAAUCUAAGUAAGUUUUAAAUGCAGAAGUUUGUAAACUGUUUUUUAGACAUGGUGAUAUAAGAUGAACAUUGUUGAAUGUAUGAAACUGGGUUAUGAAUACUAUUUGAUGAACCUCAUCCUGUCCUCAUGAUAUUUAUCAAAUUUAAAGUCAGUCUGGCUGUCACCAAUGCUAGCAGAAGCAGUGUAAGGAAGAUGUGAAAUUUCAACAGUUUGGGAUUUCAUUUGAGAAUAUAAGCUCAACUCCCAGUAUUCUAUGACUUUUGGGUGGCUAGUUUUGCUGCUAUAAACUAUGUGAUUAACUGUAAUUUAGCAAUUCAGUAGUUUAUUGUUAGUUGUGCUGUUGUAAUACUAUUGACAAUAAUUUAGAAAUGAAAUAGUUUUAUUAUUGCCAGCCCUGUUUAUGAACAGAACAUGAGUUUCAAAAUUUUUUGUUUCAUGUCCUGCAGUCACUUGUUUUUAAAUUUAUUUCAUGGGGUUUUUUUCCUAGUGCUCUGUGUGUGUGUGUUUUGGGGGAGGGGGGGGAUAAGAGUGUGUGCAUGAGUACAAGCAAGCACCAGCAUGCAUUCAUGUAUGGCAAUCUGUGUACUUAGGAGGUGAGUAAGAAGGGUUUUUUUCUUCGAUAUUUAAAGACCCAAGAUUUUCAUGGUCAUUGCACAUAGAUUUUUGCAUGCAUUUCUAGUUUAUUUUUCUAGGUAGUAAUCAAGUUGACAUAGAACAGGGAAACUAAAUUUUUGUUGAUAAAUAUGGAUUGGUAGAGCAAAGUAAUGUAAAAAUACAGUUGAUGAGCCCUGCGACCAGUUUUGGCACUUCUUUGUCUCUCUAGCUUUUGCAAUUCCAACACUUAAAUUUCUGUUUUGCUUUUGAAGAGAAUCAUGUAGUAGUAGCCACAUAUUCAAAUUCAUAAUCAAAUUCACAGUUUAGGAAAAAAUACAGUUGCUGUUAUUACCUGUGUGUGGUUAAAAUGUUUAUGACGCAAAAGAAUAAAAGAUCUUUUUAACAGUUCUUGCCAUAGAGACUGGCAACUCUCCUGUUUUUCAGGGAUUUGAGGAUUCCAGCAUGCAUAAUUUUUUUAAGCGUGUUUCACAUGUACAACAUGGUGUUAAUGUACAUCUGUACAGAAUGCGUUUUCAUUGCAUAUUGCUUCAGUGACAUGUAUAAUUAAUAAUGGCAGUAAGUACUGUUCCAUUGUGAGCAAUCGUAACUGUUUUUGAAGGUUAAAACUUGCUCAUGUCAUAUUGUGUUCUUUAUGUGUUUUAUCAAUAUUUGCAUUAAGAGCUCUAUGUGCAUUUUUUUCUUCGUGUUUUAUGUUAAUAAUGCCAGUUUCUGAGACUAGUUUAAUCCAAAGUUAAUUAUUAUGCACAGAGGAAACUAAAGGUGGGAGCAAAAUGUGUGGCAGAUGGGGCAUUAUUUUUUUUUCUUUUCAUUUUACUUUGCACCUUUCAGUUUGAGCGAAUUGUCUGUGAGGUCAUUUUUCUGUAAAUAAUUACUGUGGUAACUGAUACCAUACCCGUGAUACUUAUUUUUGAGGAUUUGUGCAAUAAAUGUUUUUGUUUGCAACAUGUCGUUUAACAUCAGGCUGUACAGUCUUGGCUAUCCUUGCAGUGAAAAACCUUAAUUUGCCAAAGGGCCUUUCUUGUGUCAGACACCUUCUAUUUAUAUGUUGGUUUUUGGCUUGUGUGUGUCUUUCACCAAAAUGCAUUUAUCUGCGUUCUUUUUAUAUUUAUGCUCACCUGUAAUGUUGGUUUCAUUAGUAAAUUUUCUAACAAAUUUCAUGUUUGCAAUCAUCUUGCACAUCAGUAGCAAUCUUUCCAACGAAGUUUAUACUUCCUUUAAAAAAUAAUUAGUUAAGAAAGACUGCUGCUUUGUACAUUGCUCUCCAAAUCUGUUUUGCUUAGCUAACCCUUUUACUCUGUGAAGUCUUGUCUGUGAGGUAUCAGCAAAUAAAACUAAUGAGAUGCAAAGAUUUUAGGGAAACAACUGAGAGCACACUAUUCCAGUAAAUUAGUCAAUUUUCUCCUUUUUCUCCACAUUUUGCUGUUCAGCAACUCCACAGUGCAGCUGAAACAGUAAAGGGCAUAAUGAGGUUCAGCUGUGAGGCAUUGUUCUCGGAUUCAGGCCUGAGCAAGCACAGGAGGUCUGUCACAGUUUUGGCAGACACAAGAAUGUUCUCUCCAGUUUGAUCUACUUGUCCAGAAUCACAGACCUUUGCUUCCUGUCUUGAACUUUGGCAUUUGUGAUUUCAGAAGUAUGUUCUGUUUAUUUGGUGGCAAUUAUUUUUCAUUCUAAUGUGUUUGUAAUUAAUUGGCACUUUUAAUUCUUUGUCUGUGUGCGUGUGUAAAUGCUUAAGUGUGAAAAAAGGGGAUUUUUGCACCAAACUUAGCAGUGCAGAGGCUUUAGAAAAAUAGCAAAAGCAAAGUAACGAUAAAGUUUUUUCGCAUCAAAGCACAGUCUUGUUUAAAUGUUUUUUAAACUGGUUUUCACCUUUUAGAAACACGGCAACGCUCUGGAGCUGGUGAUGGACUAUUUCCACGGUACUGCUGACCCUAUGCAAUGAUUUGGUCAGGGGGCUGCAAUGUUAAAAGACAUCAAAUGUUAAAUAUUUUCUGCAAAGGUAACUUACCUAUCAUUUCAUUGAUCUGGUAGACACACUUUCAAACUGGACCAGCUGGGUUUCCCUCGCCUAUCUACCCUCUUGCCUUUGUUGCUAUUUUGGACUCGUCUCUUUAGUGUGGGAAAAGGAAUUGGACUGAUAUUGGUUCUGAGGUGUCUGUAGUGGUCAGGAGGUCUUGUAAAAUUCACACACAUCUAUGGUUGUAUAACGGGCCUCUUACAGAACUAAAGUUGUCAUAUAGGCCUGAAAGAGGUUUGUAAUUUGAUAAAUAUUACAUGCAAAGUAACAUAAUACAUAACAUACAGAAUACAUUCUUCCAUCUCCAGAUCCGUAACAGAGCCGCUGGUUGGUGAUCCUUUGCACACACAUAUCAACUAUUUUUUAAAGUCUUGGCUAGGGUAAAGAAUGUUGGGAAUGUUGUGUAUCAAUAAAUUCAUUAGUACACUAAUUUUCUGCCAGAAAAUCAUUUUAUUUUCAGUUUAUCUCCUACAUUUCCCCCCUCCCCAUCUCCCCUUUUUUUUUUUUUUAAAGUAAAAGGUCGAGGUCACAUUUAGUGUAAUGUCUAAAUUUAGAAGAUUUCUUCAUUGGGAGUCAGCAUUGGUUUGUCAGAUGGCAGUCAUACAUUUUAAAAGUAAUGCACCCAAUACAUCCAUGAAUACCUUUCCCCAAUUCCGGCUGCAUAAGCUUAUGGCCAUGCACCUGUAAUAAUCAGCCUAGAUUUUGUGAAAGAUGGUGGUGAAGAGGCUGAAAUGUAUACUACUGCUGGUACCUUUUCCUGGCCUUGCUGAACACCCUGGCCCCCACACCCAUUCCACCGAAAUAAUAAUUAAAAAAAAACACGCAUACCAAAGAAAUCUAUUGUUUCAUUCCAUAAAUUGUCUAAAUUACGCCCUCAGUGUAAAAGGCUGUUCACAAAAGCAUGUUAGUAAACUGCCCUCUUUAAAAACAGUGUUUGUUGAUCGUCUAUUCUCUAACAUUGGCAUUUUCUUGCCGGGGAAAGUUAGAUAAAAAUUAAGGAAUUGAUACAAGCACCUAAAUUACUGGUUUGUCUUUCCUCCUCUUGUGGUAAUGUUACAGUAUCCAAAAAAUUGUCCCUAUUGCUUUGUUGAUUUAAGUGCUUAUGUAUUGGUCAUAUGGUUUCACAAGGCUUUUGUGUCAAUCCUUCCAUUUCUGUGUAACAUUUUUGCUGUUGCAUAGGUUUUGCAUUUGUCUGCAGUUGUUGUACAUGUUGCUUGUGUACUGUAAGUUUGCAGAUUAACGAGCCAUGCCCUGUAACGGUAUUAUAAUGUGAAUGUAUGAGUGAAUGCCUUGGCUGAAAAUGCCGAAAGGUAAAUAAAAUAUGCUAUUUACCAAUCA